CGGGGUCGAGACCGCCAAUGAAGUGGUGGAGGUUCACAUGUCCCCCGAGCUAGCCUAGGUCCAUGCUUGGGCAAGUACCCUUUCAAGCCCACCCGGAGGUGGCAUGUUGGAGGCGACUGGAACAGAGGAAGAGUCAUUGUUGGCGGGCCGCGACAUCCUGGUGGUGGCCCUUCCUUCUGUCAGAGGGGAGAUCACUAGAGUGAUGGAUUUGGGCAUCCCGCCAUCUCAAGAGCAGGUGAUGAUCCCG
rnacentral:lncRNA from 1 species